rnacentral:misc_RNA from 1 species
AGUAAUUAAAAACUGACCUUUCAACUUUACUGAUAACACUGUCACAAAACUCAUCGCGUGAAUUACACAUAUUUACAGCGAAUUAAAGCAUUGACAACUUCAUGAAGAUGCCUCUCAAGUUUGCAGCCAACAUUUCGAUGCUGUUUCAAGAGAUCCCAUCAUUGUUGGGUCGUUUUAAGGCAGCCAAGGAUGCUGGGUUCAAGUAUACAGAGUGUACCUUCCCUUAUUCUGAGGGACCAGAGGAGCUUGAAAAAGCAUGUAAGGAAGCUGGUGUAGAACAUGUCCUUAUCAACAGCUGGCCAGGUAAAAUGGAAAAGGGAGAACUUGGCCUGGCUGCUUUACCUGAUAGGGUACAGGAUUUCAGAAUGCAGCUUGAACUCUCCAUCGAAUAUGCAAACUGUCUCAAUUGCAAAAGAAUGCAUGUUACGGCAGGAAGAACAUCACGUUAUAAAUUGGAAGAAAUGGAGACCACGUAUCUUGAAAACCUACGUUUUGCUGCUGAUAGAUUACAAAAGGAAGGUAUCAUGUGUUUGAUAGAACCAUUAAACUCCAGAAUUACUGCACCAAAUUAUUUCCUUAACAACCUUCAGAAAGGGGUUGAUUACAUAAAGAAAAUUAAUCAUCCAAACUUGAAACUGCAGUUUGACGUAUUUCAUGCUCAGAUUAUAUCAGGGGAUUUAACAGGAAAUCUGAAGAAGUUCCUUCCUUAUAUAGGUCACAUUCAGAUUGCCCAAGUGCCAGACCGAGGAGAGCCAGAUCUUCAGGGUGAGGUGAACUAUAAGUACAUAUUUCAGCUGCUGGAGGACAUCGGUUAUGAUGGAUUUAUAGGACUGGAAUAUAAACCAAGAACAACCACAACAGAAGGUCUCAAGUGGAUGAAAGAAAUAGGAGUGUCACCAAGUUGUGAAGAAACAAAAAAAUAAUUAUAUUGUAUGAUAUGCUAAGGAAGUAGAUGUUGUAUUAGAAUUAUUAUAAUAUUUUUAUUUUUCAGGAAUACCUAUUUAUUAAUAAGUGUCAGUAUAUAUAAUUAUUUUUUAAAAAUGUUAAAUUCAUUUGAAUCAGACAGCAAAAUGAUUAAAAUUUUCAAGACCAUUUAUGUUGAGCAAGAUUGCCACGACCUAGUCAUCAUAACUGGUGACCAGUGUAUGUGCAUUAGUGCAGGCAUUAGUCCAUCAGUUCUUGGUUGACCCAUAAAUUUGCUGUGCAUCCUCAUUGUGACAUUGAGACAGAAUGUUACACACAAGAUUCAGGUCCCUAAAGUGUCAGGGAUACAAUUUGUGGUCAGAUGUCAUGUCAGACCAAUCUUUUAAUUGGCAGAAAUGUUUGACUUAGUGAAAUGCCUGUUGUCUGUAAAACCUGGGUAUCCAUCUCAAAGGUCAUUAUCUUGUUUGGACUCCAAGGUCAUUGUCUUGUUUGGACUCAAAGGUCAUUGUCUUGUUUGGACUGUAACUUUGACAUGCAUAGAGCAGUCUUUUAUUUUCCCCCUUUGUAGAGGGGGUAUAUUGUUUUGUUUAGUGUUGGUCAUUCUGUCUCCCCGUCUGUCUGCCCAUCAACAGACCAUUUGGUUUCAGAUCAAUAAUGAGAGAAUGCUUGGUCUCUCAGUGGUCGAACUUUAUAGGGUGAUAGCCUGUGGUCAGUACAUGACCUGUAUUGUUUUCUUUAACAUACGGUCGUCAAAUUUCAUAAGGUGAUUGCCUGAGGUCAGUAAAUGACCGCUAAUUUUGCAGGGGGCGGGGAGGUCAGUAGGUCAAAGGUCAAGGUCACAGAGACCUUCACACUGAAAACAGUUUCUUCUCAAUAUCUAAAACUUAGGUCAACAGUCAUCAAUCUUCUCAAGAUGAUUUUAUGUAGCAAGUAGAUGACUCCUACUGUUUUUGGUGUCUGUAGGUCAAACAUCAACAUCACAGUGACAUCUACACUGAAAAUGAUUGAAGAAUGUUUUAGCGAUCAACCAUCUUAAAAUGGUUGCAUAUAGUUAAUGGAUGACAGAGUAGGUUUUGAGGUCAUUUGGUCACAGCAUUUAAAACUUACAUACCCACUUGCCUCAGACAGGACAUUAUGUGGGGCAUACGUGUUUUACAAACAGCUCUUGUUUAGUAUGUAUCUUUCUCUUAAUAAGAUGGUAUGUUGAAGGGUCAUGGUCAGACUAGGUGGUCAACUGUCAUGCCUAAUAGUGAUUUGGACACCAAAUUCUAGUUAAGUGUUUAAGCUCACAAUAAGUUAUAUGUUAUAAAAUUUAUUUUUAUAUAUACAAGACAAUUUUAACAUAGUUUUAUCAAUUCGAAUAACAGCAAGAUCAACAGGUAUCUUUAAUGUAUUUUGUAGACAAAUGCAUACCAAACUAAAACUAAAUUGUUGAUUGCUUGUAAUUCCAGGGGUAAGAAAAAAGAGAAAAUAAAUUCCUUCAAGUUAUAAUUAAAGGGAUAUACACAGGUUUUUUAUUAGCUUACUUGGCACAAAGCUCUUACAGUGAGCUAUCAUGAUACCCCUGUGUUAGUCACCUGUCACUGUGAUAUGAGCUGUUGUGAUACACUUGUGCCCUUCAACAUCAUGGGUUAUUAACAUUUUUGCUGUUCACUCUAGUGGUAACAAUUUCAACGUAAUAUUAAUGAAACUAUGUCAGAAUUUUUCCCUCAGUAAAGAAAUGGGCAAACUUGAAACCAGGUCAUGAAAAAUAGGCCACUAGGUCAAAUCAUAGAAAAAUCUGUUAACACGCUACAGAUCAUAUUUAAGUUAUGUUAGACACUGGGUCAUUGGGGUCAAAUCAUAAAAAAACCUUUGUUAACACUCGUGGCCAUAUUUUCUACCUGAUUUAUUUAUAACAUGAUCUGAAUAUUUGUUUAUAUGAACUCUGUUGGAAACUAGGCCAUGUAGGUCCUUAAACUAGGUAAUAAGGUAAACUUUAGGAAAACCUUGCUAAUGCUCUAGAGGCCAUAUAUUCUAUCUGAUUUAUAUGAAACAUGGUCAGAAUGUUUGCCUUUAUGAAAUCUAGUUCAUGUUUGAAACUGGACCAUCUGGAUCAACAAGUAGGUCACUGGAUCAAGUCAUAGAAAAACCUUGUUAACUCUCUAGAGGGCAAAUAUUCUACCUGAUGUAUAUGAAACAUGGUCAAAAUGUAUGUCUGUAGAAUCUAGGUUAAAUUUGGAACUUAUUCAUGUAGGAUAAAACAAUGGGUCAAAAGGUGAAAUUGUAGAAAAUAGUGUUAACACUACAGAGGCCACAGUGUCUUCCUGAUGUUCAUAAAACUUGUUUGUCUUUGAGAAAUCUAAGUCAAGUUUGAAACUGGGUUAUCUGAGAGGAAAAGAUGGAUCACAUUGGUCAAAGAAACCUUGUUAGUUUACACUUCAGAGGUCAACUCUAUGUGAUCUUUAAGAAACUUCAUUGGAAUGGUUAUUUGUGAAACAUGUGAAAGCUAGGUCAAGUUAUAACUAUGUUGUGGACUGCUUGACUUGCUAAACUUGGUCAAAAGUAUCCUCGCAAGUUUAUGUAAAUUGUUCUACUUAACUUGAUCUUCUAAUCAGGGUCAUGUGUUUCAUAUUUCAGGAUGAAUCUUUUUCACAUUAAACAAAAUGUUUGCAUUAAUUAUUGAUAUAGUGUGUCUUGACAUGUAUUUAUGAUUCAGGUGAGAUGAAGGUUUAUGGGCCAUUAUGCCAAUCUUGUCCACAAGGUAACUUCAUGUUAUAUUUUGUAUCAUUCUACUUUGUAAUAGAAGUUAUCUUAUCAAACAAAUUUGGCUAUUAAAAACCUUUUUAACUAUAUGAGCUGCGUCACUGAGAAAACCAACAUAGUGGGUUUGCGACCAGCAUGGAUCCAGA